GACGAACGCUGGCGGCGUGCUUAACACAUGCAAGUCGAACGGAAAGGCCCUGCUUUUGUGGGGUGCUCGAGUGGCGAACGGGUGAGUAACACGUGAGUAACCUGCCCUUGACUUUGGGAUAACUUCAGGAAACUGGGGCUAAUACCGGAUAGGAGCUCCUGCUGCAUGGUGGGGGUUGGAAAGUUUCGGCGGUUGGGGAUGGACUCGCGGCUUAUCAGCUUGUUGGUGGGGUAGUGGCUUACCAAGGCUUUGACGGGUAGCCGGCCUGAGAGGGUGACCGGCCAAAUUGGGACUGAGAUACGGCCCAGACUCCUACGGGAGGCAGCAGUGGGGAAUAUUGCACAAUGGGCGGAAGCCUGAUGCAGCAACGCCGCGUGCGGGAUGACGGCCUUCGGGUUGUAAACCGCUUCCGCCUGUGACGAAGCGUGAGUGACGGUAAUGGGUAAAGAAGCACCGGCUAACUACGUG
rnacentral:rRNA from 1 species